rnacentral:rRNA from 1 species
UACAGAGGUCUCAAGCGUUGUUCGGAUUCACUGGGCUUAAAGGGCGCGUAGGCGGGCUCCCAAGUCGGUGGUGAAAUCUUUCGGCCCAACCGGAAAACAGCCGCCGAUACUGGGAGUCUUGAGGGAGGUAGGGGUCGAUGGAACUUCCGGUGGAGCGGUGAAAUGCGUAGAUAUCGGAAGGAACGCCGGUGGCGAAAGCGAUCGACUGGACCUCUUCUGACGCUGAGGCGCGAAAGCCAGGGGAGCAAACGGG